rnacentral:rRNA from 1 species
GCUCAACCGAGGAAGUGCUUCGAAAACUGGUAAACUUGAGUGCAGAAGAGGAAAGUGGAACUCCAUGUGUAGCGGUGGAAUGCGUAGAUAUAUGGAAGAAACACCAGUGGCGAAGGCGGCUUUCUGGUCUGUAACUGACGCUGAGAUUCGAAAGCAUGGGUAGCAAACAGGAUUAGAUACCCUGGUAGUCCAUGCCGUAAACGAUGAGUGCUAAGUGUUGGAGGGUUUCCGCCCUUCAGUGCUGCAGCUAACGCAUUAAGCACUCCGCCUGGGGAGUACGAUCGCAAGAUUGAAACUCAAAGGAAUUGACGGGGGCCCGCACAAGCGGUGGAGCAUGUGGUUUAAUUCGAAGCAACGCGAAGAACCUUACCAGGUCUUGACAUACCAUGAAAAAGCUUAGAGAUAAGUCUUUUCCCUUUCGGGGACAUGGAUACAGGUGGUGCAUGGUUGUCGUCAGCUCGUGUCGUGAGAUGUUGGGUUAAGUCCCGCAACGAGCGCAACCCUUUAUUAUCAGUUGCCAGCAUUCAGUUGGGCACUCUGGUGAGACUGCCGGUGAUAAACCGGAGGAAAGGGGGGGACGACGUCAAAUCAUCAUGCCCCUUAUGACCUGGGCUACACACGUGCUACAAUGGUCGGUACAACG